rnacentral:RNase_P_RNA from 2 species
UAAGCAGGCUGUGGGAACACCCUAACAAGCUUCGGCUUGGAACGGGAGGAAAGUCCGGGCAUGAAAAAGCAAAGAGCCGGCGAAUAACCGGGAGCGAAAGCUACGGAUAGUGCAACAGAAAACAUACCGCCGCAAGGUAAGGGUGAAAUGGCGGGGUAAGAGCCCACCGCGGAAUGCUUAAGUAUUCCGGCAAUGUAAACCCCUCUUCAUGCAAGGGCAAGCAGUACGUUUCCGUCGCUUUACGGUUCGCGUACGGGUAGCCUGCGGGACCGCCGCAAAAACGGCGGCUAGAUGGAUGUCCCAAUAACAAAACCCGGCUUACCAGCCUGCUUCUUUU